CAUUAGCUAGUAGGUGAGGUAAGAGCUCACCUAGGCGACGAUGUGUAGCCGGUCUGAGAGGAUGAACGGCCACAAUGGAACUGAGACACGGUCCAUACUCCUACGGGAGGCAGCAGUGGGGAAUAUUGCACAAUGGGGGAAACCCUGAUGCAGCAACGCCGCGUGAGUGAAGAAGGUUUUCGGAUUGUAAAGCUCUGUUAGCAGGGAAGAGGAAGGACGGUACCUGCAGAGGAAGCCACGGCUAACUACGUGCCAGCAGCCGCGGUAAUACGUAGGUGGCAAGCGUUGUUCGGAAUAACUGGGCGUAAAGGAUGCGUAGGCGGUUGAGUAAAUUAUGUGUUAAAUAUAUAGGCUUAACCUGUAGAAAGCACAUAAAACUGUUUAACUAGAGUGCAGGAGAGGUAAGUGGAAUUCCUAGUGUAGCGGUGAAAUGCGUAGAGAUUAGGAAGAACACCAGUGGCGAAGGCGACUUACUGGACUGUAACUGACGCUGAGGCAUGAGAGCAUGGGGAGCAAACAGGAUUAGAUACCCUGGUAGUCCAUGCUGUAAACGAUGGGUACUAGGUGUGGGUUGUGAAUAACAAUCCGUGCCGUCGCAAACGC
rnacentral:rRNA from 1 species